CCUACGGGAGGCAGCAGUGGGGAAUAUUGGGCAAUGGGCGCAAGCCUGACCCAGCAAAGCCGCGUGAAGGAAGACGGCUUUCGGGUUGUAAACUUCUUUUGUCAGGGAAGAGUAGAAGACGGUACCUGACGAAUAAGCAACGGCUAACUACGUGCCAGCAGCCGCGGUAAUACGUAGGUGGCAAGCGUUGUCCGGAUUUACUGGGUGUAAAGGGCGUGUAGCCGGGUUGACAAGUCAGAUGUGAAAUCCUGCGGGUUAACCGCAGAACUGCAUUUGAAACUGUUGAUCUUGAGUACUGGAGAGGCAGACGGAAUUCCUGGUGUAGCGGUGAAAUGCGUAGAUAUUAGGAGGAACACCAGUGGCGAAGGCGGUCUGCUGGACAGCAACUGACGGUGAGGCGCGAAAGCGUGGGGAGCAAACAGGAUGAGAUACCCCUGUAGUC
rnacentral:rRNA from 1 species